UACGGGGGGAGCAAGCGUUGUUCGGAUUUACUGGGCGUAAAGGGCGCGUAGGCGGUCAGCACAAGUCAGUUGUGAAAUCUCCGGGCUUAACUCGGAAAGGUCAACUGAUACUGUGCGACUAGAGUGCAGAAGGGGCAACUGGAAUUCUCGGUGUAGCGGUGAAAUGCGUAGAUAUCGGGAGGAACACCAGUGGCGAAGGCGGGUCUCUGGGCCGUAACUGACGCUGAGGAGCGAAAGCGUGGGGAGCGAACAGG
rnacentral:rRNA from 1 species